rnacentral:rRNA from 1 species
GACGAACGCUGGCGGCGUGCUUAACACAUGCAAGUCGAACGGAAAGGCCCUGCUUUUGUGUUUUGCUCGAGUGGCGAACGGGUGAGUAACACGUGAGUAACCUGCCCUUGACUUUGGGAUAACUUCAGGAAACUGGGGCUAAUACCGGAUAGGAGCUCCUGCUGCAUGUUGGGGGUUGGAAAGUUUCGGCGGUUGGGGAUGGACUAGCGGCUUAUCAGCUUGUUGGUGGGGUAGUGGCUUACCAAGGCUUUGACGGGUAGCCGGCCUGAGAGGUUGACCGGCAACAUUGGGACUGAGAUACGGCCAAGACUCCUAAGGGAGGCAGCAGUGGGAAAUAUUGCACAAUGGGCGGAAGCCUGAUGCAGCAACGCCGCGUGCGGGAUAACGGCCUUCGGGUUGAAAACCGCUUUCGCCUGUGACGAAGCGUGAGUGACGGUAAUGGGUAAAGAAGCACCGGCUAACUAAGUG